rnacentral:tRNA from 1 species
UAGGUUGUAGUUUAACUAGAAUCGGAGCUUUGGGAGUUCCGGGUGCCCUUUUGGGUUAACCUAA